CGUUCCCAGCCACGCUGAUAUGAUUGAUAUGAUUGAUAUGAUUGAUAUGAUAGAUAUGGUUGAUGUGAUUGAUAUCCCAUGGAAUGUGCCGCUCUCCAGCUGAUCCCGUCCCCUCUCUGUGCUCUGUUCCAGCCCCUCCGCCGCUCCCCCCGAAGAACAUCCCGGCCACGCCGCCGCGCACCGGCUCCCCCCUGCCCCCGGCCAUCGGUAACAGCUCGGGGGUGGCACCGGGGGACGGGUCUGUCACCAGCCCUGGGUGGCACCGGGGGACGGGUCUGUCACCAGCCCGGGGUGGCACUGGCAGGGACAGGUCCUGUCCCAGCCCAGGGGUGGCACUGAGGGGACAUGUCCCAUCCCCACCCCGGGCAGGGACAGGUCCCCGUGGCUGCAUUUUGGACACGGAUUUGGUCCCUUUGCUCCCCCUUCCCUUGGAAUUCAGGGAAUUCCAGACCGGGCUGGCUCGGGAGGAUUUUAUAUCCUCUCCAUUUCCCGCGGGCAGGGACAGCUCCCACUGUCCCAGGCUGCUCCAAACCCCUCCCAGCCUGGCCUUGGACAUUUCCAGGGAUCCAGGGACAGCCACGGCUUUGUGCUGUUUUGGUGGAUGCUGCAGCAGAAGCAGCACAGAGAUAUUUUUGGCUCCCAAGCUGGUCUCACCCCGGUGAAAUUAAUGUUCUUUACACCAUCCCUGCCUCUGGAUCAGUCACUCUGGGAAUGCAGUGCGGGAUUAGCUUUAAUAUCCCGCUGAAAACUGGGAUAUAUUCCCAGCUCCAGAGCCCUGGAGCAGCCCUGCAAGGCUGUGCUGAGGAAGGAAGAGGGUGGGCAGGCUCUGCCUGUGGCAGGGAGCUGCUCCCGCAUUCCCUGCCCCCCAAAUUCCUACUGAAAGGUGGGAAAAGCCCUCCCGGUAGUGCAGGGAUGGGAAAUUGUGCUGGGAAUGACAACCCGAGGGCAGGGAUGGAAAGGUGUUGGAUGCAGCCAGAGGACAUCAGGUGCUUCCAAGCAUAUAAUUCAUGGUGCUGGCUGAUGGAAAAGCGGGAUUUGGGCAGGGAGGGCAGCGCCCUGGGGAGGAAUCCUUG
rnacentral:lncRNA from 1 species